rnacentral:tRNA from 2 species
GGGCCGUUAGCUCAGCUGGUAGAGCAGCGGACUCUUAAUCCGUUGGUCGUAGGUUCGAUCCCUACACGGCCUACCA